AGCCUCCAGAAUCUUUACCCCUCAGGUCUAAAUACCAAUCUGAGUGUCUGAAAAAGCAGGAAAAGUAAAACAGAGGUGGACUUGGUGCCUUAAUGACCUAGAAGUUCAUUUCAAACAAAU
rnacentral:snoRNA from 1 species